AACGAACGCUGGCGGCGUGCCUAACACAUGCAAGUCGAGCGCGAAAGCCUUCGGGCGAGUAGAGCGGCGCACGGGUGAGUAACACGUGGGUAAUCUGCCCUCAGGCUUGGGAUAACCAGGGGAAACUCUGGCUAAUACCGAAUAACGCCAGGCAACGAAAGUUGUCAGGACAAAGCAGGGGCCUCCUUCGGGAGCCUUGCACCAGAGGAUGAGCCCGCGUCCCAUCAACAGUUGGCGGGGUAACGGCCCACCAAGGCAAAGACGGGUAGCUGGUCUGAGAGGAUGGCCAGCCACACUGGAACUGAGACACGGUCCAGACUCCUACGGGAGGCAGCAGUGGGGAAUAUUGCGCAAUGGGCGAAAGCCUGACGCAGCAACGCCGCGUGAGUGAUGAAGGUCUUCGGA
rnacentral:rRNA from 1 species